AGCGUUGUCCGGAUGUAUUGGGCGUAAAGAGCGUGUAGGCGGCCAUGUAGGUCCGGUGUGAAAACUCGAGGCUUAACCUCGAGAUGUCAUCGGAAACCAUUUGGCUAGAGUCCGGAAGAGGAGAGUGGAAUUCCUGGUGUAGCGGUGAAAUGCGCAGAUAUCAGGAAGAACACCAAUGGCGAAAGCAGCUCUCUGGGACGGUACUGACGCUGAGACGCGAAAGCGUGGGGAGCGAACAGG
rnacentral:rRNA from 1 species